rnacentral:misc_RNA from 1 species
AUCUGACAUUUCGAACUACAUUCCUUUUAUUCAUCAUACACUCAUCUCCUAACAAUCUCCAAAACCACUGUCAAAUAUAGCAACAAAGAAGUGCCUACCUAUAUAGGCACGUAUAAAAGGCCACAGGGUUAGUUUCACAGAGGUACGUACUGUCUGGCUUAAUCUUUUGCACAAUUUUGAGGCACUGACCUCACAUCUUUCAUGGGUUGUAGAUUUACCCAGCUAACCACCGCCAGACACCCCCAGAACCUUGUCUCUGUGCAGAUGCAUUAAGCUCUAUCUCCCGCUCAAUAGCAGACUUCUGUCUCCUAAGUAUUUGUACUUCAUUCUCUAUGGACUGCAGUGAUUCUAGCAUCUUCUGUAAUUCAGCUAUU